rnacentral:rRNA from 1 species
CCGCCCGUCACAUCAUGAAAGCCGAUUGCACCCGAAGUGGUUGAUUCGACCCGCAAGGGAGAUAGAUCCCUAAGGUGUGGUUGGUGAUUGGGAUG